AGUGCCAUUUUUGCGAAGCCAGAUAUUGAAAGUGGCAAAUAUCCAAUUUUCUCCUCGCCGGCUGGACGACGGCGAGCGCCGGUGUCGAGGUGGGGCAGAACCGCAGAAGCCAUGAAGGGCCCGGCGCCUGCGGGCGGAAGCAGCAGGGGAGGUCGGCGGUUGGGAUGCUCGCCGGUUGGACGACGGCGAGCGCCGGUGAGCACAACGCAUGGUGUAGCAGGCUGGGCAGGCAGCGGGAGCGGCAGUCAAGACCAUGGGCGGCUUGGUCACCUAGCACCGCAGUCACCCCAACCCUCUUUAUUGCGCAAGGCUGCAGAAGGACGAACGGCGGCCUCCAUCCCUGGCUCAUCCUCCUUGCGCGUGCCGGCCUACCGGAGGUUGCCUCCUCUGUUGGUUGUCCUGGUUCCGCCCUAAUCUGUGGGGAUCCUCCCUCCCUCUCCAUCGAUUUGGGGAGGUAUGAUAUGGUGGUGGCUUGCAGUGUAGGAGGUGGGAGCGAAGACUCUGACGGCCAGAUCGAGAGGCUUAACUAAUGCAGCACCAUGGCAACUUAGCCCAAACAUGUCAUCAAGCAGGCGCCCAAGUGGAAUCCGGCAAUUGCUUGCUGCAGAGCAAGAGGCUCAGCAAAUUGUAAAUACUACCAGGGCUGGUAAAGUUCUCUGAUUUUGGGCUUGACUCAUUAUGAAGCGAGCAUAAUGUUGUGCGGUGAGUACAUUAUGAAUUGACCGUUUGUGUGGAUCUGCUCUGUUGGCUUAAAUUAAUAUUUUAUACUUGAAUACACCUGCCAACUUUUGUAGGAUUUGUCACAAUGUGAUGGCAUUUUCUAAUUUAUUUGAUGUGUCUGUCCUGCCGUACCAAGUUUAUCAUACUGUGAAUUCAUGAUACAUCAUGUCCCAUUGUGAGUUGUUAUGAAAUCAUCAUCUGGUUUACAGCGCAGGCGCACAAUUGCUGGCAUUCUGUAACCCUUUACCUGGUAAUAUUGCCUUUGUUAUUUGAUAGGACGUGUCAUCUGAUUAUGUCGUUGGGUGGGAGUAUCUUAAAAGAAAGUGGAAUGUUUGCAUUGCAUUGUUAAGUUGGCAAAAUCUGUUGCAUUUAUGAAAGCACUUACCAUAGAAAUAUUUGAACUUCUAUGAAUAUUAUUGUUCACUACGAAGCUGAAAUUGAAGUAUCUACUUUUGUCUGUCAACUAAAAUCUGACGUCUUUGGCAGCGAAAACGGCAAGGCUUAGGCAAGCAAAAAAAGAGACUGAUAGAGAAAUAGAUGAGUACCGUUCCAUGAUAUCUAAUUCAGUUUCUACACCGUAUACUUAUUUUUUUUGUUAAAAAAUUGCAGUAAGCUUCAAUUCAUGAUCAAAUCUGCAAUACCUUUACUAUUUGGACUCACAAAUAGCAUCUAUGUCAGUACCAUUGAUAAAUACAUUUUCAGUUUCCCAAUAACCUGCAAUGCCUGCUCAGCUCCCAGGAUUUAAUAAUGAGCUGUCUUGGGCUUCAUUGAACAAAUGAUCUACCUGGAGCAAUGGUACAGGCAAGUAUUUUUAUUUUAAACACUGAAAGCAUUAAGUUAUCAAGUGCUAAAAGAUCUGAGCUAUGGUAAUUGGCUGUCCUUUGGGGGCAGUGUAGAUUGUUGUUGAAGCCUGAUGGCCUUUUUCUUGCAGCAAUUCUUCUCUCAUGUGUUGAGGAUCUUUUGGGAACAUUUUUUCUGUAACUUCUUAUAGAGAUGUUCAAUUAGUUGCACAGACAUGCAUACAUGAUUCUGUGAGGAAAUUACUUUCUCUGGUCUCUUCUUUAUAAAUGUUUUCCAGUGGCUGUUUAAUAUAGAUGUUUCAUUUGUUGCAUAAAUAUGAUUCUAUGAGCAAAUUAUCUUCACCGAUCUGUUUUAGAGAGAUAUCUGAUUGGCUGCACGAGCAUAGAUGGUGUUAUGACCGGCAUAGGGGCUUAGCCCAGUGGGUUAUGGCCCAAGUAUCUUAAUUAGGGGCUUAGCCCAAUUAUCUUAUCGUAUUAGGAUCGUUUGCUUAGGAGUCAAGUAAACCUCUCUAUAUGAGGAGAGGAGAUGUAUCAAUCUAAUGAAGCAAGAAGCUAUCAAUAUUUGCUCGACUUCCCUUAGGGAGCCGGGAGACCUAAACCCUAGCCGCCUCCUG